rnacentral:rRNA from 1 species
UACGGCGGAGCCAAGCGUUAUCCGGAAUCAUUGGGUUUAAAGUGUCCGUAGGCGGUUUAGUAAGUCAGUGGUGAAAGCCCAUCGCUCAACGGUGGAACGGCCAUUGAUACUGCUAGACUUGAAUUAUUAGGAAGUAACUAGAAUAUGUAGUGUAGCGGUGAAAUGCUUAGAGAUUACAUGGAAUACCAAUUGCGAAGGCAGGUUACUACUAAGGGAUUGACGCUGAUGGACGAAAGCGUGGGUAGCGAACCGG